rnacentral:rRNA from 1 species
GUUCGAGCGGAUGACUGUAGCUUGCUCCUUGAUUCAGCGGCGGACGGGUGAGUAAUGCCUAGGAGUCUGCCUGGUAGUGGGGGACAACGUUUCUAAAGGAACGCUAAUACCGCAUACGUCCUACGGGGAGGAGAGCAGGGGACCUUCGGGCCUCCCGCUAUCAGAUGAGCCUAGGUCGGAUUAACUACUUGGUGGGGUAAUGGCUCACCACCGUGACGAUCCGUAACUGGUCUGAGAGGAUGAUCAAGCACACUGCAACUGAGACGCGGUCGCAGACUCCUACGGUGAGGCAUCGACGACGGAGAUAUUGGACAAUGGGGGGAAGCGCGGGAGCGCAGCGUUGCCGGGGUGUGUUAUGGAGGGUGUUCGGGAUUGUUAGACCAGUUUUAGCUCGGGGAACGGAAUGGGUCGUGAGGCGUGCGAACCUUGUGGGGGUCGUCUGACGGGUGC